rnacentral:snoRNA from 1 species
AGAUGAUAAAUGAUUAAUUCCCACAUUGGUUUGAUUUGCCAACAUGAUGGCCACAGUACUGAAUUGAACCUGAUCAUCA